rnacentral:rRNA from 1 species
GAUGAACGCUAGCUACAGGCUUAACACAUGCAAGUCGAGGGGAAACGAUAGAGAAAGCUUGCCUUUUCUAGGCGUCGACCGGCGCACGGGUGAGUAACGCGUAUCCAACCUGCCCAUCACUUGGGGAUAACCUUGCGAAAGUAAGACUAAUACCCAAUGACGUCUCUAGAAGACAUCUGAAAGGGAUUAAAGAUUUAUCGGUGAUGGAUGGGGAUGCGUCUGAUUCGCUUGUUGGCGGGGUAACGGCCCACCAAGGCGACGAUCAGUAGGGGUUCUGAGAGGAAGGUCCCCCACAUUGGAACUGAGACACGGCCCAAACUCCUACGGGAGGCAGCAGUGAGGAAUAUUGGUCAAUGGGCGAGAGCCUGAACCAGCCAAGUAGCGUGCAGGAUGACGGCCCUAUGGGUUGUAAACUGCUUUUAUAAGGGAAUAAAGUGAGUCUCGUGAGACUUUUUGCAUGUACCUUAUGAAUAAGGACCGGCUAAUUCCGUGCCAGCCGCCGCAGUAA